rnacentral:rRNA from 1 species
CCUACGGGUGGCAGCAGUGAGGAAUCUUGGUCAAUGGCCGGAAGGCUGAACCAGCCAAGCCGCGUGAAGGACGAAGGUGCCAAGCAUUGUAAACUUCUUUUGUCAAGGGACAAAAUCAGGCUCGAGAGCCUGACCGAGGGUACUUGAAGAAAAAGCAUCGGCUAACUCCGUGCCAGCAGCCGCGGUAAUACGGAGGAUGCGAGCGUUAUCCGGAUUUAUUGGGUUUAAAGGGUGCGUAGGCGGGCUGUUAAGUCAGCGGGAAAAGCCCGGGGCUCAACCCCGGCGAGCCGUUGAAACUGGCUGUCUUGAGAUGUCGAGAGGUAUGCGGAAUGCGCAGUGUAGCGGUGAAAUGCUUAGAUAUUGCGCAGAACUCCGAUUGCGAAGGCAGCAUACCGGCGGCGAUCUGACGCUGAGGCACGAAAGCGUGGGUAUCGAACAGGAUUAGAUACCCCAGUAGUC